ACCAGACUCCUACGGGAGGCAGCAGUGGGGGAUACUGCACAAUGGGGGGAACCCUGAUGCAGCGACGCCGCGUGGGUGAAGAAGCGCCUCGGCGCGUAAAGCCCUGUCAGCAGGGAAGAAAAUGACGGUACCUGAAGAAGAAGCCCCGGCUAACUACGUGCCAGCAGCCGCGGUAAUACGUAGGGGGCAAGCGUUAUCCGGAUUUACUGGGUGUAAAGGGGGCGCAGACGGCGAUGCAAGCCAGGAGUGAAAGCCCGGGGCCCAACCCCGGGACUGCUCUUGGAACUGCGUGGCUGGAGUGCAGGAGGGGCAGGCGGAAUUCCUGGUGUAGCGGUGAAAUGCGUAGAUAUCAGGAGGAACACCGGCGGCGAAGGCGGCCUGCUGGACCGUGACUGACGGUGAGGCCCGAAAGCGUGGGGAGCAAACAGGAUUAGAUACCCCCGUA
rnacentral:rRNA from 1 species